rnacentral:rRNA from 1 species
CCUACGGGUGGCAGCAGUGGGGAAUAUUGCACAAUGGGGGAAACCCUGAUGCAGCGACGCCGCGUGAGUGAAGAAGUAUUUCGGUACGUAAAGCUCUAUCAGCAGGGAAGAAAAAAAGUCCUUUGGACUUUGGACGGUACCUGACCAAGAAGCCCCGGCCCACUACGUGCCAGCAGCCGCGGUAAUACGUAGGGGGCAAGCGUUAACCGGAUUUACUUGGUGUAAAGGGAGCGUAGACGGCAGCGCAAGUCUGGAGGGAAAUGCCGGGGCGCAACCCCGGAACUGCUUUGGAAACUGUGCAGCGGGAGUGCAGGAGAGGUAAGCGGAAUUCCUAGUGUAGCGGUGAAAUGCGUAGAUAUUAGGAGGAACACCAGUGGCGAAGGCGGCUUACUGGACUGUAACUGACGUUGAGGCUCGAAAGCGUGGGGAGCAAACAGGAUUAGAUACCCCUGUAGUC